rnacentral:rRNA from 1 species
UGGUGGAGUGAUUUGUCUGGUUAAUUCCGUUAACGAACGAGACCUCUCCCUACUAAAUAGGGUCCGUUAACGCAAGUUAGCGCGGCGCUUCUUAGAGGGACAUGUUGGGUUUACCAGCAGGAAGCAAGAGUCAAUAACA